CGAAAGUUGACUGGUCGAUUGAUAUUUCACUGCCUUCAAUCUCUCUAUAUAAGCUUCUCAAGCGCUUGCUUCCUUCCUAAAACAAUAUCAAAUAAUAGUAUUAUCAGUACUGCUGAUCAGUAUCUGGAAUCUGCCAGCAGCAUGAGGUUCGUGAUAAUUGCAGUGCUAGUGUUGAUGGUCACGGGAAGCUUUUGUGAGGCUAAAGAUGGGAGAAAGUUGAUGAAGGAGGAGGAAGACAAGGGAGUGCUCCUUGACAACAAUGAUCAUCAUCAUCUCCCAAUCAAAGACUAUAGCCCAUCUCACAAGGACUACAUCGUCGACCAUCCAGCUCACGUACGAGGGAAUCCUUAAUCAGUACCUAUAUAUGUGAAUCUUUUACAGUUCUUCAUUAUAAAAUUCUUGCAGAGUUUUACAAAAGCAAGUGAGAUGAGCCAAAACAGCAUGCACUCUCACUCCUUGUCUCACUUCUCUUGUGAAACUCUGCAAUAAUUUUAUAAUCAAGAAUUUAAAAAGAUUUCCACUCAAAUUAGCAUAAUAUAAAACGUACGUGUAGGCUUAUAAAGUGUUUGUUUUAUGUCGUCAAGUUACUGUGCUGCUUGCUUGUCUCAUAUUUUCAUGAACCCUAGCUAGCUAUUAUAUGAUGUGUGUGCGUAAGUUUGGGUGCUUGGAUUACAAGCCAUGAAUAAAACCUAUAAAGAACUAAGAUUGUAGCAAACUACGGGUCAUGUAUGUGAUUGUUGAUUAAUAAAGAAUAUAUUGUGGAUACGGUUUGCUUCAAA